AGAGUUUGAUCCUGGCUCAGAUUGAACGCUGGCGGCAUGCCUUACACAUGCAAGUCGAACGGCAGCACGGGCUUCGGCCUGGUGGCGAGUGGCGAACGGGUGAGUAAUACAUCGGAACGUGCCCUGUUGUGGGGGAUAACCAGUCGAAAGAUUGGCUAAUACCGCAUACGACCUGAGGGUGAAAGCGGGGGACCGCAAGGCCUCGCGCAGCAGGAGCGGCCGAUGUCUGAUUAGCUAGUUGGUGGGGUAAAGGCCCACCAAGGCGACGAUCAGUAGCUGGUCUGAGAGGACGAUCAGCCACACUGGGACUGAGACACGGCCCAGACUCCUACGGGAGGCAGCAGUGGGGAAUUUUGGACAAUGGGGGCAACCCUGAUCCAGCAAUGCCGCGUGUGUGAAGAAGGCCUUCGGGUUGUAAAGCACUUUUGUCCGGAAAGAAAACCUUUGCCCUAAUACGGUGGGGGGAUGACGGUACCGGAAGAAUAAGCACCGGCUAACUACGUGCCAGCAGCCGCGGUAAUACGUAGGGUGCGAGCGUUAAUCGGAAUCACUGGGCGUAAAGCGUGCGCAGGCGGUUUGACAAGACAGGCGUGAAAUCCCCGGGCUUAACCUGGGAAUGGCGCUUGUGACUGUCAGGCUAGAGUAUGUCAGAGGGGGGUAGAAUUCCACGUGUAGCAGUGAAAUGCGUAGAGAUGUGGAGGAAUACCGAUGGCGAAGGCAGCCCCCUGGGACGUCACUGACGCUCAUGCACGAAAGCGUGGGGAGCAAACAGGAUUAGAUACCCUGGUAGUCCACGCCCUAAACGAUGUCAACUAGUUGUUGGGGAUUCAUUUCUUCAGUAACGUAGCUAACGCGUGAAGUUGACCGCCUGGGGAGUACGGUCGCAAGAUUAAAACUCAAAGGAAUUGACGGGGACCCGCACAAGCGGUGGAUGAUGUGGAUUAAUUCGAUGCAACGCGAAAAACCUUACCUACCCUUG
rnacentral:rRNA from 1 species